rnacentral:rRNA from 1 species
UACGUAGGGGGCUAGCGUUAUCCGGAAUUACUGGGCGUAAAGGGUGCGUAGGUGGUUUCUUAGGUCAGAGGUGAAAGGCUACGGCUCAACCGUAGUAAGCCUUUGAAACUGGGGAACUUGAGUGCAGGAGAGGAGAGUGGAAUUCCUAGUGUAGCGGUGAAAUGCGUAGAUAUUAGGAGGAACACCGGUGGCGAAAGCGGCUCUCUGGCCUGUAACUGACACUGAGGCUCGAAAGCGUGGGGAGCAAACAGG